AUGUCUGUCACUAACUUCCUCUGUGACCAGGAUGAAUUGCUUCCCCUCUCUGGCCUCAGUUCCUCCACCUGGAAGAGAAGGGGAUUGAACUUCACGUUGACUGAUGAUUCUUCUGGCUCCAGGGUUGGAGGAUGCGCCCCAGCAGCCCCACCUCGUCCCAGCAGGCUGCACCUCCUGGGAGCAACAGGUACAAAGCCGGGCUUCAGCUGGCGUGUUGAGGAUGGCACAGGGAAGAGUAGAAGUCCCAAGAUCAGAGUUUCCUGUGGCGGCCUUCCCAUGGUGAGGACUUUGGAUUUUAUGCUUAGUGCUAUGGGGAAUCUGUGGGGGUUCCUGAGCAUUGGGGUGACAGGAUCUGACUUACAUUUUAUUAGCUGUUUGUGUGUUUAUUUACUUACUUUACAACCCGGGGCUGAUAUAUAUCUCACAACCAGGGGCAUAAAUGUGUUAUGUUUGGCCAGGGCAAAGUUACACUUGGGAGUGAACUCAUGCGUUCAAUAGCAUCCACUUACAUCAUCCAGAGGCAUUUGCAGAGGUCCGUGGGUGGGCCUGACUCAUCCUCCUAGGCUCCCUGACCUGCAUCUGCAGGAAGGGGAAAAGAGCAGACUGCAGGGAAGCCAUCACCCAGGAGAUCUGAGGCCCAGAGGCACAGCCCUCUUUGUUGGCUAUAUUUUCUUUCUUUCUUUUUUUUUUUUUUUUUAAGAUUUUAUUUACUCAUGAGUGACACAGAGAGAGAGAGAGAGAGGCAGAGACACAGGUAGAGGGAGUAGCAGGCUCCAUGCAGGGAGCCCGACGUGGGACUCGAUCCCGGGACUCCAGGAUCACGCCCUGGGCCGAAGGCAGGCACUAAACCUCUGAGCCACCCAGGGAUCCCCUCUUUUUCUUUUUUUAAGUAGGCUUCACACCCAGUGUAGAGCCAACAUGGUGCUCAAACGCACAACUGUGAGAUCAAGACCUGAGCCAAUAUCAAGGGUUGGACACUUAACUGACUGAGCCACCCCAGUGCCCCGGCUUAUUUUUGUCCUGCAUUCUGUGGGUACCUUGACAAUACCUCAUAGGCAUACAGGUCUUUGAGGGUGUCAACAUCCUAUACUUCAAGACUAGAAGUGAUUUCAUAAAAUGCCAUAGGACUCUGUUAGAAAGCAAAUCAUAGCCCCAAAAUGGUGUCACUAAUGUUAAGGCCUUAUUUUAGCAAACCAAGACUUAAUACCUAAUGACAGUUUCAAUGACUCAGGAACAUAGCCUUUAACCAGCCCAACUGGGACUUCCUGGUCAACACCAGGAGGUUACCCCAUAAUAAACCUCUACUCUUCCCCUUAGGAGGGAACCUG
rnacentral:lncRNA from 12 species